AAAUUGAAGAGUUUGAUCAUGGCUCAGAUUGAACGCUGGCGGCAGGCCUAACACAUGCAAGUCGAGCGGUAGCACAGAGAGCUUGCUCUCGGGUGACGAGCGGCGGACGGGUGAGUAAUGUCUGGGAAACUGCCUGAUGGAGGGGGAUAACUACUGGAAACGGUAGCUAAUACCGCAUAACGUCGCAAGACCAAAGUGGGGGACCUUCGGGCCUCAUGCCAUCAGAUGUGCCCAGAUGGGAUUAGCUAGUAGGUGGGGUAACGGCUCACCUAGGCGACGAUCCCUAGCUGGUCUGAGAGGAUGACCAGCCACACUGGAACUGAGACACGGUCCAGACUCCUACGGGAGGCAUCAGUGGGGAAUAUUGCACAAUGGGCGCAAGCCUGAUGCAGCCAUGCCGCGUGUGUGAAGAAGGCCUUCGGGUUGUAAAGCACUUUCAGCGGGGAGGAAGGCGUUAAGGUUAAUAACCUUGGCGAUUGACGUUACCCGCAGAAGAAGCACCGGCUAACUCCGUGCCAGCAGCCGCGGUAAUACGGAGGGUGCAAGCGUUAAUCGGAAUUACUGGGCGUAAAGCGCACGCAGGCGGUCUGUCAAGUCGGAUGUGAAAUCCCCGGGCUCAACCUGGGAACUGCAUUCGAAACUGGCAGGCUAGAGUCUUGUAGAGGGGGGUAGAAUUCCAGGUGUAGCGGUGAAAUGCGUAGAGAUCUGGAGGAAUACCGGUGGCGAAGGCGGCCCCCUGGACAAAGACUGACGCUCAGGUGCGAAAGCGUGGGGAGCAAACAGGAUUAGAUACCCUGGUAGUCCACGCCGUAAACGAUGUCGAUUUGGAGGUUGUGCCCUUGAGGCGUGGCUUCCGGAGCUAACGCGUUAAAUCGACCGCCUGGGGAGUACGGCCGCAAGGUUAAAACUCAAAUGAAUUGACGGGGGCCCGCACAAGCGGUGGAGCAUGUGGUUUAAUUCGAUGCAACGCGAAGAACCUUACCUGGUCUUGACAUCCACAGAACUUUCCAGAGAUGGAUUGGUGCCUUCGGGAACUGUGAGACAGGUGCUGCAUGGCUGUCGUCAGCUCGUGUUGUGAAAUGUUGGGUUAAGUCCCGCAACGAGCGCAACCCUUAUCCUUUGUUGCCAGCGGUUCGGCCGGGAACUCAAAGGAGACUGCCAGUGAUAAACUGGAGGAAGGUGGGGAUGACGUCAAGUCAUCAUGGCCCUUACGACCAGGGCUACACACGUGCUACAAUGGCAUAUACAAAGAGAAGCGACCUCGCGAGAGCAAGCGGACCUCAUAAAGUAUGUCGUAGUCCGGAUUGGAGUCUGCAACUCGACUCCAUGAAGUCGGAAUCGCUAGUAAUCGUAGAUCAGAAUGCUACGGUGAAUACGUUCCCGGGCCUUGUACACACCGCCCGUCACACCAUGGGAGUGGGUUGCAAAAGAAGUAGGUAGCUUAACCUUCGGGAGGGCGCUUACCACUUUGUGAUUCAUGACUGGGGUGAAGUCGUAACAAGGUAACCGUAGGGGAACCUGCGGUUGGAUCACCUCCUUACCUUAAAGAA
rnacentral:rRNA from 1 species